rnacentral:sRNA from 2 species
CUGUAAUAUUAUGUAUGAUGACUGUAUCAGCCCCUCUCUGAAUGUGUAUUUAAUAAUUAUCAUCUCACUACUGUAUUCUUCUCUCUCUGCUCUUGUAUUGAUUUCUAUUCUUAACUAUUCUUAUUCUUACUUAUCUACUUUGAAAUCCUUGCAUCUCUGUAUAAGUGAGAAAGACUGAUAAUGAUCUCUGCUACUGAUACUGCUGUUGAAGCAGCUGCUGUAUAGAAGCAGCUACAGUAUAAUCUUAUUAUAGAGAUGACAGUACAGAGAGAGAAUACACUGAGAAUCAGCAGAUAAAGC